rnacentral:rRNA from 1 species
GAUGAACGCUGGCGGCGUGCUUAAUACAUGCAAGUCGAGCGAACAGAUGAGGAGCUUGCUCCUCUGACGUUAGCGGCGGACGGGUGAGUAACACGUGGAUAACCUACCUAUAAUACUGGGAUAACUUCGGGAAACCGGAGCUAAUACCGGAUAAUAUAUUGAACCGCAUGGUUCAAUAGUGAAAGACGGUUUUGCUGGCACUUAUAGAUGGAUCCGGGCGGCGUUGGCUAGUUGGUAAGGUAACGGCUUACCAAGGCAACGAUGCGUAGCCGACCUGAGGGGGUGAUCGGCGACCCUGGAACUGAGACACGGUCCAGACUCCUACGGGAGGCAGCAGUAGGGAAUCUUCCGCAAUGGGCGGAAGCCUGACGGAGCGGCGCCGCGUGAGUGAUGAAGGUCUUCGGAUCGUAAAACUCUGUUAUUAGGGAAGAACAAAUGUGUAAGUAACUAUGCACGUCUUGACGGUACCUAAUCAGAAAGCCACGGCUAACUACGUG